GACGAACGCUGGCGGCGUGCUUAACACAUGCAAGUCUACGAGAACGAGGUAGCAAUAUCUUUAGUAAAGUGGCGCACGGGUGCGUAACACGUAAGCAAUCUACCUUUGGGUCUGGAAUAACUUCGAGAAAUCGAGGCUAAUACCGGAUAAUGCAGCGGCACCGCAUGGUGAUGUUGUUAAAGUUUAAGUAAUGCCUAUAGAUGAGCUUGCGUCUGAUUAGCUAGUUGGUAGGGUAAAGGCCUACCAAGGCUACGAUCAGUAGCUGGUCUGAGAGGAUGAUCAGCCACACUGGAACUGAGACACGGUCCAGACUCCUACGGGAGGCAGCAGUGAGGAAUAUUGGGCAAUGCCGCAAGGGUGACCCAGCAACGCCGCGUGGAGGAUGAAGGCCGUAAGGUUGUAAACUCCUGUUAGAGGAGAAGAAUAGUACCGAUUGGAUCGGUAUUUGACUGUACCCUCAGAGAAAGCCCGGCUAACUACGUGCCAG
rnacentral:rRNA from 1 species